GUGGCUUCAGCAGCACAUAUACUAAAACUGGAACGAUACAGAGAAGAUUAGCAUGGCCCCUGCGCAAGGAUGACACAUAAAUUCGUGAAGCAUUCCAUAUUCAA
rnacentral:snRNA from 1 species